rnacentral:hammerhead_ribozyme from 1 species
AAGCGAAACCAGACGGUGCAAGCCGUUUGGUCUGCCAGGCGUGGUUGCCUGGUACUGAUGAGCAGCCGGAG